rnacentral:rRNA from 1 species
UACGUAGGGUGCGAGCGUUGUCCGGAAUUAUUGGGCGUAAAGGGCUCGUAGGCGGUUUGUCGCGUCGGGAGUGAAAACUCAGGGCUUAACUCUGGACUGGCUUCCGAUACGGGCAGACUAGAGGUAUGCAGGGGAGAACGGAAUUCCUGGUGUAGCGGUGAAAUGCGCAGAUAUCAGGAGGAACACCGGUGGCGAAGGCGGUUCUCUGGGCAUUACCUGACGCUGAGGAGCGAAAGCGUGGGGAGCAAACAGG